AUGGAGUCGGAUACAUAUACUCUGUAAAAAUAUACAUACUUUUCCUUAAUUCCAUUUAAAAUAUAAUCGUUUUUAGGUAGAGGUUAUCUUUUUGUUCUUUGUUUUUUACUUUGUUAUCACACAAUCGCUUGGAAUUAGAUCUUUACUAGUGCCAUCUAUUGAUACUUAUUUUUGUAACAGUGAACUUCCAAGAGCACAAUAAUUGUGGAUUUUUUUUUUGUUAAUGAUAAAGAAAAGCAUUUCUUUAAACUAUUUUCUUAUUAAUAUUGCUAUAUUUAAAAAAUAAAUCCUAAUAAUUUGAAUAUUAUCAUUUGAUAUCAUUAUUUGUGAUACUACAGUGUAGAAGAAAUAUCAAGAGAUUUUAAAAGAUCAAGUUUGUUUCUUAUAUAAAAUAAUAUUCACUCACAAAAUGUUGAAAGCUUUAAUAAGUUUCAGUCUUGGAGUCUAUACUGGUUUAUAUCUAAGUCAGAAUUAUGAGAUUCCAAAAAUAGAUGAUCCAAGUCAGAUACUAGUAAAAUUAAAAGAAUUUGCUGAAGAUUAUAGAAGGAAAUAAACUUUACAUUAAUAUAUCAUAUGUGAUAAAUAUAAUAAUAUGUAACAUUCUUAACUUGUAAUAAUGUAGAAAUAUUUGUAUACAUAAACUUACUUUUUUAUAUUUCUUUUACUUCAUGUUUUAAUAAAUUAUUUAUUUAGACUAAUACAUUA